rnacentral:rRNA from 1 species
UACAGAGGCCUCGAGCGUUAGGCGGAAUCACUGGGCGUAAAGGGUGCGUAGGCGGGUCUUUAAGUCAGGGGUGAAAUCCUGGAGCUCAACUCCAGAACUGCCUUUGAUACUGAAGAUCUUGAGUCCGGGAGAGGUGAGUGGAACUGCGAGUGUAGAGGUGAAAUUCGUAGAUAUUCGCAAGAACACCAGUGGCGAAGGCGGCUCACUGGCCCGGUACUGACGCUGAGGCACGAAAGCGUGGGGAGCAAACAGG